GGCCCAUUCGUCUAGUGGCCUAGGACGCCGCCCUCUCAAGGCGGAAGCACGGGUUCAAAUCCCGUAUGGGCCA
rnacentral:tRNA from 1 species